rnacentral:rRNA from 1 species
AGAGUGAACGCUGGCGGUAGGCCUAACACAUGCAAGUCGAACGGCAGCACAGUAGGAGCUUGCUCUUACGGGUGGCGAGUGGCGGACGGGUGAGGAAUACAUCGGAAUCUACCUUUUGGUGGGGGAUAACGUAGGGAAACUUACGCUAAUACCGCAUACGCCCUUCGGGGGAAAGCCGGGGACCAGCAAUGGCCUGGCGCUGAUAGAUGAGCCGAUGUCGGAUUAGCUAAGUUGGUGAGGUAAUGGCUCACCAAGGCGACGAUCCGUAGCUGGUCUGAGAGGAUGAUCAGCCACACUGGAACUGAGACACGGUCCAGACUCCGUACGGGA